UACGUAGGGGGCGAGCGUUGUCCGGAUUUAUUGGGCGUAAAGCGCGUGUAGGCGGCCACGCAGGUCCGCUGUGAAAACUCGAGGCUCAACCUCGAGCUGUCGGUGGAAACCGCGUGGCUAGAGUCCGGAAGAGGAGACUGGAAUUCCCGGUGUAGCGGUGGAAUGCGCAGAUAUCGGGAGGAACACCGGUGGCGAAGGCGGCGCUCUGGACCGAGACUGACGCUGAGGCGCGAAAGCGUGGGGAGCAAACAGG
rnacentral:rRNA from 1 species